AUUUAGUACUGGUAGGAGAAGGACGACGAAAUGAUGGCGACCGCCGCAGAAGAAAUAUUUCAAAGCCCAUGUCCCAUUUCUGAGCGCCAUGUCACGACUAUGUCCAUCAAAAUUACGCGGAAAAACCAGGAUAAACCCUGGAAAUUGAGAUUAAUUUACCUGCAGUGCUAUUUUAUGUCAAUUGCAACCAUACUGGGAACUGGAAUCUUAGGACUUCCUGUCACAAUAGCACAUGCAGGACUCAUGCCUUUCCUGGUCUCCUUUAUAAUUGGUUUCUUUGUGCAGGCUCUCCUCAUAUACCUCUUUGUUGACCUGCUCCAGCGAUGCCAAGUUGUCCAGAUUGAGUCAUUGAAGACUACUGAGACAGAGCGAAUUCUAAUGCAAGACGUUGGAUUGGAGGAGCCUGCUCUCACUAAUACAGAGGAGGAAGAAGAGGAGGUGGAGGAUGGGGAAGAAGCAGACACGGGCCUCCUGCAGCAGGACACGGCCAGACAGACACUGGAGGAGAAGCUACAGCCUAAUCUCCAUGUGUUGGGGCUUCUCUUCCUCAGCAAGCCUAUGAGCCAUGCCUUCAACUUCAUCCUACUCUUCCAGUUUGUGUCUAUUGGGAUCAGCUAUGUCCUAGCUGGCAGUGAGGCCUACGCCGCUCUUCUACAUGUGAGCCAUAUCUAUGUCAUUCCUGGGUUUACCUGGACACUAUCUCUUGGAAUCCUGCUGGCUCAAAUGGUCAUUCAGCCAAUCACGUCGCUACUGACCCUCCUGAAAGGCAUCAUGCUGAUCAUCACAUUCCUUGGGUAACACAUAAUCCACAGAUACUCCUAGAUCCUCUCCUAUUGGGUUCUUCAUCUCU
rnacentral:lncRNA from 1 species